GAUGAAGAACGUAGCGAAAUGCGAUAAGUAAUGUGAAUUGCAGAAUUCAGUGAAUCAUCGAAUCUUUGAACGCACCUUGCGCCCUUUGGCCAUUCCGAAGGGCAUGCCUGUUUGAGUAUCAUGAACACCUCAACUCUUCAUGGUUUUCCGUGAUGAGCUUGGACUUUGGGGGUCUUGCUGGCCUAUGGUCAGCUCCUCUAAAAUAAAUCAGCUUGCCAGUGUUUGGUAGGUAUCACAGGUGUGAUAACUAUCUACGCUUGUGGUUUUCCACCAGGUAACCUUCAGCAGUGGAGGUUCGCUGGAGCUCACAGAUGUGUCUCUCCUCAGUGAGGACAGCUCUUUGAAUGUUUGAUCUCAAAUCAGGUAGGACUACCCGCUGAACUUAAGCAUAUCAAUAAGCGGAGGA
rnacentral:misc_RNA from 1 species